CCUACGGGCGGCUGCAGUGGGGAAUAUUGGACAAUGGGGGGAACCCUGAUCCAGCCAUGCCGCGUGUGUGAAGAAGGCCCUCGGGUUGUAAAGCACUUUCAGUGAGGAAGAACGCCUGGUGGUUAAUACCCAUCAGGAAAGACAUCACUCACAGAAGAAGCACCGGCUAACUCCGUGCCAGCAGCCGCGGUAAUACGGAGGGUGCGAGCGUUAAUCGGAAUUACUGGGCGUAAAGCGCGCGUAGGUGGCUUGAUAAGCCGGUUGUGAAAGCCCCGGGCUCAACCUGGGAACGGCAUCCGGAACUGUCAAGCUAGAGGGCAGGAGAGGAAGGUAGAAGUCCCGGUGUAGCGGUGAAAUGCGUAGAGAUCGGGAGUAAUGCCAGUGGCGACGGCGGCCUUCCGGACGGACACUGAUCCUGAUGUGCGAAAGCGUGGGUAGCAACCAGGAUUAGAUACCCGGGUAGUC
rnacentral:rRNA from 1 species